rnacentral:rRNA from 1 species
CCUACGGGUGGCAGCAGUGAGGAAUAUUGGUCAAUGGCCGUAAGGCUGAACCAGCCAAGUCGCGUGAAGGAAGAAGGAUCUAUGGUUUGUAAACUUCUUUUCUAGGAGAAUAAAGGUAUCCACGUGUUGAUAUUUGCAUGUACCAUAUGAAUAAGCAUCGGCUAACUCCGGGCCAUCAGCCGCGGUAAUACAGAGGAUGCGAGCGUUAUCCGUAUUUAUUGGGAUUAAAGUGUGCGUAGGUUGUUUUUUAAGUCAGCGGUGAAAGUUUGUGGCUUAACCAUAAAAUUGCCGUUGAAACUGGAAGACUUGAGGGUGUUUGAGGUAGGCGGAAUGCGUGGUGUAGCGGUGAAAUGCAUAGAUAUCACGCAGAACUCCGAUUGCGAAGGCAGCUUACUAAGCCAUAACUGACACUGAAGCACGAAAGCGUGGGGAUCAAACAGGAUUAGAUACACAAGUAGUC